rnacentral:rRNA from 1 species
UAGGGAAUCUUCUGCAAUGGACGACAGUCUGACCGAGCAACGCCGCGUGAGUGAAGAAGGUUUUCGGAUCGUAAAACUCUGUUGUUAGAGAAGAACAAGGACGUUAGUAACUGAACGUCCCCUGACGGUAUCUAACCAGAAAGCCACGGCUAACUACGUGCCAGCAGCCGCGGUAAUACGUAGGUGGCAAGCGUUGUCCGGUUUUAUUGGGCGUAAAGCGAGCGCAGGCGGUUUCUUAAGUCUGAUGUGAAAGCCCCCGGAUCAACCGGGGAGGGUCAGUGGAAACUGGGAGACAUGAGGGCAGAAGAGGAGGGUGGAAUUCCAUGUGUAGCGGUGAAAUUCGUAGAUAUAUGGAGGAACACCGGUGGCGAAGGCGGCUCUCUGGUCUGUAGCUGACGCUGGGGCUCGAAAGCGUGGGGAACAAACAGG